rnacentral:rRNA from 1 species
UACAGAGGGGGCAAGCGUUGUUCGGAAUUACUGGGCGUAAAGGGCGCGUAGGCGGCCUGUUAAGUCGAACGUGAAAUCCCCGGGCUCAACCCGGGAACUGCGUCCGAAACUGGCAGGCUCGAAUCCGGGAGAGGGAUGCGGAAUUCCAGGUGUAGCGGUGAAAUGCGUAGAUAUCUGGAGGAACAUCGGUGGCGAAGGCGGCAUUCUGGACCGGUAUUGACGCUGAGGCGCGAAAGCCAGGGGAGCAAACGGG